CAAAAUACUCAGACCCCUUGUGGAAUCAUAUUGCAUCUAUUAGUUUGAGCCAAUAAAAAACACUGGUUUAUAGUGUUCAUAGUGCGUAUAUUCCUCCCACUAUGGUUGCAUUGUGCAUGGGAGGCAGAGAAAUAUUCUUGAACGGCUAAGUAGCAGCUGUAGCUUUCUUCAAAUUGGUUUCUGAAGAUCCUUUUCUCUUUGAAGUUGUCUUUAGUAACAGUCCUGGCACUGUCAAUGAGUCUGUCCAGCCCCAAGUGUCUAUUCCUGUUUGUUCAUGGGCGUGGGAGAGGUCUGAGUCACUGAAGGGUGUGUCCCCCACUUUCUUGUAGAUACUUGAAAAGGAGCCAUGCACACUGGUGCCCAGAGGCAAAGGCAGAACACCUGGAGGACUCACGUGGAACUUACGUAACCCACCCCCUCCAAAAAAAAAAAACGAAAAGUGCAAACCAGUUUAUCUCAAAAGGAAAUGUUUCUUGCCUCUCUUUCAUUAAUUUCCAGUUGUUUUUUUUGCCACAUAUGUACGAUUUCAUUUAUAUGAAUGUCCAGAGUAGGCAAAUCCAUAGAGACAGAAAAGAUAUCAGUGGUUGCCAGGGGAUAAUGCAGGGAGGGGAAGAGGAGAAUGACUGCUUAAAAGGUUUCCUCUUGGGGUGAUGAAAAUGUUCCAGAACUAGAUAGUGGUAACAGUUUCACAACAUUUUAAAUGUACUAAAGUCACUGAAUUAUACACUUUAAAAUGGUGAAAAUGAUGAAUUUUAACCAUUCAUAGCCAUGUUUUAUGAAUUUUACCAUUUUUUAAGUAAAGGGAAAAGAAGGUUCUGAGAUUCAAACCUUUGCAAUCAAAAUAAACUGUCGAAUACAGAAGCCCGUAAACAUGUUCUGAAUACUAUUUAAUUUUUCUGCCCAUGAAACCAAGCCUAAUUCUAAAUAAUAUAAGAGCCAAAAUAAACUGUCUAAGCUGGUAUUAACCUUUUUCUUAAAUUAAAAAUGUUAUCAGGUUGAUAGGUGCAGCAAACCACCAUGGGACACGUUUACCUAUGUAACAAACCUGCACAUCCUGCACGUGUAUCCUGGAACUUAAAAUAAAAUAAGUGUUAUCAAUGUUCAUUGUGAAAAAAUCAACACAGAAAGAAUAAAUUAUCAAUUCCAUUGUCUGGAAAUCAUGUUUCGGGAUUAUAUAUAUGCACAAACUUUAUUUCCCUAAAAAGAGAUGAGAUAUUGUUCGGUAGUAUAUCCAACUACAUAAUUUUACCAACU
rnacentral:lncRNA from 1 species